AUCAACUAAAGGUAAAAAUACUUCAUCUUCAAGGACAUUUAUGCAAAAGACUCUGAUGAGUACUCUGGAUUAUAGGUCUGUGAUAACUUUAACAUCAUACCACUGAACUGGACUUGGCAACGUGCUAAAAACUAGGACUGCCUCUUUCUCAAAGCCCUACAAGCUAAAGCUGAAUGAAAAUAUAAACUUUGCCCCAAAAUAUCACAACCGAUCAUAUAUAGACAAUCUUUGUGCCUGCAGCUGUAUGGGCCACUCUAAAAUUCACUGGACUACUCAGUCACUCUGUGCCAUCACCAAAGACAUUCCAGCUGCAAGCCAGGAACUUGAUCAGAUUGCCACAGCCCGUCCUCACUCUACCAUCUAAAGAUGCUUUGAGCCCCAGAAAUGGCCCUCAUGAAAUGCCUGAUUACUCACACAGGCCUCACUUGGGUGGUGCCCGGCUCCCAUAUACACCAACGCCUCGGCAGGUG